rnacentral:rRNA from 1 species
GAUGAACGCUGGCGGCAUGCCUAAUACAUGCAAGUCGAGCGAAUGGAUUAAGAGCUUGCUCUUAUGAAGUUAGCGGCGGACGGGUGAGUAACACGUGGGUAACCUGCCCAUAAGACUGGGAUAACUCCGGGAAACCGGGGCUAAUACCGGAUAACAUUUUGAACCGCAUGGUUCGAAAUUGAAAGGCGGCUUCGGCUGUCACUUAUGGAUGGACCCGCGUCGCAUUAGCUAGUUGGUGAGGUAACGGCUCACCAAGGCAACGAUGCGUAGCCGACCUGAGAGGGUGAUCGGCCACACUGGGACUGAGACACGGCCCAGACUCCUACGGGAGGCAGCAGUAGGGAAUCUUCCGCAAUGGACGAAAGUCUGACGGAGCAACGCCGCGUGAGUGAUGAAGGCUUUCGGGUCGUAAAACUCUGUUGUUAGGGAAGAACAAGUGCUAGUUGAAUAAGCUGGCACCUUGACGGUACCUAACCAGAAAGCCACAGCUAACUACGUGCCAGCCGCCGCUGUAA